CCCCACAGUUUUAGAAUCUUUGCCUCCCAACCCCUCUAUUCUUAGUUCUUGUUCAGAACAUUGGAAGGUGAAGAUCUUUAGCUGUUGUAACAUGGGAAGUUAAAGGAUUAGCAACUGCAAUUCUAGGUUCUAUUCAGGGCUGUUUGCCAGCAGUCGGGCCUGCUAAAUACCAAAACACCUUUCACAAAAAUUAACACGUUCACUCUCCAAAAGGCUGUACAAUGCGGAGAUGAGGCAACGGUGACAGAAACCCACAGCACAGACGGACACAACCCCUGGCCAUACCGGGCAUCACGUGGUAGAGGAAGGCAUUUGAGAUCGGCAUACCCGAGCCACCGAGAAUCACCGGAUCGAUGUCAUCCCUGCCUGAUCGAAAACAAUUUCCAAAGAUUCCUUCAGAGCUAAGAGGCAUAGAAUGCACCAUUCAAAACACUGAAUUAGAUAAUUACGUAAUAGCCCGAGAAUGACUGCCAACCUCGGCAAGAACAAUAUUCCAAGUGUGUGAAUAGCAGAUAUUCUCUUUUGCACUCGGGGUUGUCACCGUCAUUACCAAAAUGGUUUUGCGAGGUGGUAAUCAAAACUCUCUAUAUUAAAGACAGCCCUCGUACACAUCCAACAAAGGACCGGAGAACCCCGCUCCCAUUUGUCUUAAUGAGGAUUAGGCUGCUUACGCAAUUUGGAAAAGACUCUUGGGCAAACGACUUGAUUUCCCUUUUCUUUUUCUGGGUGAUAAUCCAGACCACACCUUUGCACUUCAGGGGAUGGUAAUUUUCCCGAAUCAUUUUGGAAACGAUUCUCCAAAGGGUUUUCGAAAUAAUCCUGACCUGAUCCAAAUGUAGUUUAUUGGCGCGUGCAAGCUCCUUGCGAGUACUGUUCUCCUUGAGGACAGGGAUAUUGUCUACCAAUUCUAUUAUACACCCUCAAGUGCUUAGUGGAGUUCUCUGCUCAAAGAAAGCACUCGUGGAUCGGUUACUUGUCAGGCCUGAAAACUGAUAACAAUAAAUCGAUGAUUUUGUUUGAAAUCAA